AUUGAACGCUGGCGGCAGGCCUAACACAUGCAAGUCGAACGGUAGCACAGAGAGCUUGCUCUCGGGUGACGGGUGGCGGACGGGUGAGUAAUGUCUGGGAAACUGCCCGAUGGAGGGGGAUAACUACCGGAAACGGUAGCUAAUACCGCACAACGUCGCAAGACCAAAGUGGGGGACCUUCGGGCCUCACACCAUCGGAUGUGCCCAGAUGGGAUUAGCUAGUAGGUGGGGUAAUGGCUCACCUAGGCGACGAUCCCUAGCUGGUCUGAGAGGAUGACCAGCCACACUGGAACUGAGACACGGUCCAGACUCCUACGGGAGGCAGCAGUGGGGAAUAUUGCACAAUGGGCGCAAGCCUGAUGCAGCCAUGCCGCGUGUAUGAAGAAGGCCUUCGGGUUGUAAAGUACUUUCAGCGGGGAGGAAGGCGGUGAAGUUAAUAACUUCACCGAUUGACGUUACCCGCAGAAGAAGCACCGGCUAACUCCGUGCCAGCCGCCGCCGUAA
rnacentral:rRNA from 1 species